AUUUAGCUCACAGUUUUGGAGUCCGAGAGUCCAAAUAGUUGUUGCUGACUUUGGGAGCCCCCCCAUCCCAUCAUGGCAGAUGGCAUCACAAUGGUGGGAGCACAUGGGAGAGGAGGAGCUCAUGUGCCCAGAUAGGAAGUCAGAGAGGAGGAGAGGCCAGGCUCACUCUUUCACAACAAGCUCUUGCAAGAACCAACCAGCGGCCCCUGAAACUGCAUCAGUUCCUUCCUGAGCAGCACCCUCCACGCCGCCCUGAGCUCACCGCCCCCACCAGCCCGGUCUCUUAAAUAAGUCUCCACACCAUCUCCCGGCCCACGAAGCCGAAGCCCCGAGGGACGCAGUCAGACACACCACCCACACAGGGAGGGCCAGCUGUGGCUCAGUUCACCAGUGCAAAUGCCGAGCCCUUCUGGAAGCCCCUUCACAAACAUCCCGAGAGAGCUACUGGGCGCCCCUUGGCCUGCUCAAGUCGACACCCCAAAUUAGCCACCCCUCAAAGCUCUGAUUCCCCUUAGAUGGACCAGGAAGCUGCUGCCUUCCCACAGAGCUUGAGUCUCUGCGGUGGGUGUCCGCCCCUGGCCAGGUAAAUAAAGCCCUCUUUUGAUUUGAAA